CCGGGCAACGCAGGUUAAACAGUCUCCUCACUGUCCCCUGGACCAACAGGAAGUUGUCGUGCAAACAACGCCCACGCACAAACGACCCUGGUGCGCUCCCACAAGCCGAGGCAGCUCUGGCCCCAAACGAUUGGCGAGAACCUUGGACACCAACUUCCCAAAAGCAUGUAUAAGGCUUUGGGCCGAAAGUCCUGGAUGUUCACCGCCCCUUGACGCUUAGGAAGGAGACAAAUGUAGGCCUGAUUAACAGCCUCAAAGCCUCUGGCAUCCAAGGAGUGGAAGGAGCGAAA
rnacentral:lncRNA from 1 species